rnacentral:snoRNA from 1 species
AAAUGAGGAGUGGUUAAAAAACUCGCUUAAUGCGAGAAGAGUGUUUCGCUCAGCCUGUUACGACAAAUGAGCACUCUCCUUCUUUUAUCAUUUUAAAUU